rnacentral:lncRNA from 1 species
GUAUCGAAAUAAAGUUCAGAUUUCAAGCAUGGUGAGCAAUAUAGCACAACCAUCUCUGUUAAGAUACUCUGAAUGUAGUAGUAAGUACAUAACAAAGGAUGUGGGUGUGGGUGUGAUUUCGUUAUUAAAUUUGUCAGCCCAGGGCAACCCACAGUGACUUAUAAUCAAUCAAUCAAACAAACAAACAAACAAACAAACAAAUAGACAAUAAACCCCACAUGCAUACAUUAAAACCAAAAGGAAAGAGAAAUAAAUUAAAAACAUCCCAUCCACUUCUAAAAGGCCACAGAUAGUUAAAGGUCAAAGGCCUGGGUAUGGAGGAAAGUUUUUGGUUGGUGCUAUAUAUAUAUAUAUAUAUAUGUGUGUGUGUGUGUGUGUGUGUGAGAGAGAGAGAGAGAGAGAGAGAGAGAGAGAGAAAUUUACAUAAAACCUUUCAUAUGGUAACAAAAAAGUUUUGAAAUGCAGUAGCAAUACUUGGCUCUGGACAGUGGUCUGUUUGAAUCCUGCUGCCACUAAAUGGUGAAAAGGCUGCCACAUUUUGAGGCCUAGAAAUAAGAAUUUUGUAAAUUUGAUAAAUUCUGAUGAUUUUUUUAAAUUGAAAAUUGCCAGUGAUCACUUUAACAGCAUGCUUAAGCUGUACUUCCAUGGUGGCACUUUAAUGCUGCUGCUGCUGCUGCUGCUGUUGCUGUAUUGAUGCCACUCCAUAGAACUUCCCAAAAUGCAAAAUGUUGGUAUCAAAAGUGAAGACAUUUGAUUCUCUCAUACUAUUUGAAACCGCAUGUUCAUGGAUAUAUUGCCAGAGUCACUGUCAGUCAAAAAAUUUUUGUAAACUGUUAUGAACAUCUGAAUUUUUAAACAGACCAAAAAAAAUGGCAUUGCUGUUUCAUUGGGGGUUCUCUCCAUCCCCCACCCCCCUGGUAAAUGGUACUGAGUAUCUUUAUGGUGUGACAGAUCUGGCAGAUACGUGGUAGAUUAUCUCAGCGGCCCAGAUGGAGCGUCUGCCGCUUUAUCAAGCAAAAUGGUUGGACAGUUGCAAAGUUAUGUGAAAGAAGGCUGCCAUUUUACCAUCCUGUUCUGCCAAACUAGCAACUGGACGUCCCCAGCUCUUGGCUUCCUCUAGACAGAGCCUUAAGGCCUGGUUGUCUGUGGAUGCGCAUUCGUGCAGCGGCGCUGCCAAAUCGAAACUUCAAAAAUGAGAGGAAUUACCGGACUGUGGUGUCCUCUAUUGCUGAGCCUGCAGGGUGAUGUGGAAUUAGACAUGACCCUACAGCUGCAACCAAGCCACCUCCUGACAGCCUCCAGCUAGUUUUGAUAGAGUUGUCCUUGCUGGUCUUACCAUCUGGGUUCUAAGCAGCAGCACAAUAAACCCAUCUCCAAAUGACACAGAGCGAGAACCAAAGGAGAAAUAACUUGCAGUUCUUCUGUAGGGAUGUUCAGGAGGCUUAGUGAGUAUGAAAUAUGUUGCCGUUUUAGUCCAAUUUUGCGAUCCUGAUUUAUAUUACCCCAUUCUGUACUACUUGUCCCAAGGACAGGCUCCCACUCCCACUACCUCUGGUUUGGCUUCCCCUAAUGUAAUAAUUGUCCUUUAACUUGGCAUAAAACGAUAGGACCAUUUUGCCAAUGCUACUGUUGUAAGCUGUUGUUCAGUGUACAAGUGAUUGAGUUAUCCCGCUUCUACUGAGAUCAGCAUAAAAGGAGGAGAGAGAGUGGUCAUCAGAACACCAUGGGAUUUAGAGCGACGUUGUUUGUGCAAGCAUGCAAGUUAAAUGGGAAAGAAAUGCCGUUUCUGGGACUGCUUCCAUUGGCAAAUCUACGAUCCACGUUAGAAAGCUUGUGAGAAGUAAAAGAUACCCAGUCACUUGGGAAAUGAAGAGCUGCUAUUGUGUAAAGAAAUGUUCAAAAGAAGAACCAUUUUAUAUAAAUACAAACAGAUAAUUAGAAAUAUAAUGGAAAUGUAGAAAAUUCAAGUGUCUGGGUGGUAAUGCUACUUUUAAAAUUUAUAUAUUUAAUCUACAAGUUUUGGGGGGAAAUAUUUGACUAGGGUGUCUAAAAAAAGCUCCUCAAAGGUUUAUAUUAGCUUUAAUUAGAUCUAGACAGAAUUCAUUAUUUUUAAUGGCUUUUCAUCAGUGAGCUGAAGUCAUUAUUUGAAAUGUACAGUAGCAAGUAGCAAAACAAGCUAAUGGGGGGGGCCUUCUAUUUAAAGUCAGCCUAUGUAUUAAAGAAGCUAUUAUUAAAACUACAGUUAGAAAGAUGAUUUUAUCUGAACUAUGAACACUGGAGUUGAAGGUCUAAGCAAGGAUUUUUCCCUCUCCUCCAUAUGGAGGGAAGCAGUAUUUUUUU